rnacentral:misc_RNA from 1 species
GUUCCGUAGGUGAACCUGCGGAAGGAUCAUUAUUGUAUAACCGAGGUGCGAGGGCUGUCGCUGACCCGAAAGGUCGUGCACGCCCGAGUGCCCUCACACACAUCCAUCUCACCCCUAUGUGCACCACCGCGUGGGUCCCCCUUUGGCUUGUUCGGAGGGGGGCUUACGUUUUCACACAAACUUUGUAUGCAGUGUAGAAUGUAUUUUUUGUUUUUGCGAUCACGCAAUCAAUACAACUUUCAACAACGGAUCUCUUGGCUCUCGCGUCGAUGAAGAACGCAGC